rnacentral:rRNA from 1 species
GACAGAGGGUGCAAACGUUGUUCGGAAUUACUGGGCGUAAAGCGCGUGUAGGCGGCCCGGAAAGUCGGAUGUGAAAGCCCUGGGCUUAACCUAGGAAGUGCAUUCGAAACUCUCGAGCUUGAGUUCUGGAGAGGAAGGCGGAAUUCUCGGUGUAGAGGUGAAUUCGUAGAUAUCGAGAGGAACACCGGUGGCGAAGGCGGCCUUCUGGACAGUGACUGACGCUGAG